GGCCGUUGGUGGAUUUCUGGUGGUACCUCAAGGAGACCUUCUUCCCAGGUGACCCAUUCCACGUGGCGGUGCCGGUGCGUGAGCGAGCUGCCAGACCGCACGUAGCAGCGACGCUUCGAUACUUCUUCCCGUUCCUGGAGUGGGCGCCAGCCUACGGGCUGGGCACCUCAAGUCGGACCUCAUCGCCGGUACUUCUUCUGGUUCCUUGAAGUUUGAUAUGCAUGCCCCCUUGUUAGAGCGGUGGAGAGAGAUGCGACAUGGAGUGAGGGAACUGUCGGCACCGUCAUAAGAGGUUGAUCUCCGCCCUAGUUUCCUCUAUGAUUACAUCAAGGAUGUAUUUUGUUGCUUGUUGGUUCUGUGUGCGGGAGCUCGAUGAUUGGGGGAGUUUAGAUCUGUGGUUUCAUUCUCAAAUUCUAUUCGUAUGGAUUGAGAUAGAGAUGAGAAGGUAGGUCCCUUGUUCAUGUAGGUUUUCUCCGUACCACUAAAUGUUUGUUUGAUUUUUUCCAUGUAGGUUCUCUCUGAUUUUGCAUUAGUCUAUGUUCUUAGUCUUCAUUCUUUUAUUUUCAGUUUAUGAGAUUUCAGUAUUUGAUUCACUUAUUCUUGGUUUGGCAGAUAUUCAGUAUCUCUGUUCUUAUUAUUCAAAUUUUUUAUUUCUCAGAUUAGGAGUUUAGUACUUUUUCUUUUAUUAGUCAUCAGUUUUCUUCUUUAUUCAAUCAUAUUCAGCCUUAGUUCUUGUUCAGUCUUUCUUUAACUUCUUUUGUCCUUAGUCUCUAGUUUUCCUCUUUCUUCAGUCAUAUUCAGUCACACUUUGUUCAGUCUUUCAUUAUCUACUUCAGUCUGUAGUGCUCCUUGUGCAUAUAUACUUUGUUUUGCUCAUUCUUCUUUCUUAGCUUUGUUCUCUCAUUUUGUAUCGGCACAACCAAUAAUUCACAAGAUCAUCUAAUCCACAUAGGCAAAGGAAGAUUUUUCGUAGUAAAAUUCAGUAUAGUGGAGGGAAAGGAAGGUUUUUCGUUGUAAAAUUCACUACACUAGAGGGAAAAAGUUUCAAUGUUAUUAUCUAAUUGUUUCAAGGUUUUCUUAGUCAUGACUUUCUUUUCUCUACCAGCUUUAGGGGGAGGUCCAUCUAAUUUGACUUUGCCCUGGGCUGUCUGCAGGUGGGCUAAACAACCAGAUUUGGUGGAUUAGUUGGACUUGUAAAUAUUUUUUUCUGAUCCCACCACACUUUAUAUAGAGAAAUAGUAUUUCUUCAUAUUGUUACUUUUUUUGCUUGCUUUUGUGCUUAUUGCUCAUAAUGUUAAAUGUUUGUUAGUCUCUUCUUUCUCUGGUCACCUUCAGUGCACAUGUUUCUUCAUUAUUUCAGUAACUACCUUCUCAUUGUUCCGCCUUCAUUUCUCAAAUCCAUGCUUAUCAGUUAUCCCUCUGUAUGCAUCAGUGAUCAAUAUUUCUCUUCAGCCUCAUUAUUUUUUUUCAAGAGUACGCCAAAGGCUUACCUUAGCUUUAUAGAAGGAAGGAAUAAUAUUUACAAGUCAGCCUCAUUAUUUCAUUAAGUCCCUGCUCUACCCAGCCUUCAUAAAUUCAGUAUGCCCCUGCUCAUUAUGUAUAAAGUCUUUUUUGAGCAUUCUUAUUUUUUAUCUUUUUGUUUCACCAGCAGGUUUAAUUACUAACCAGAGGAAGUUUCUUCUCCCACUUCUUCAAGGAAGAACAAGGUUCCAACUUCGUUUUAGCGCACGUUGUUUCAGAUGUGUUAUGUAAUAGUACUACAUAGAAGAGUUUUUUGCUUCAAGAAGUGUUAUGUAAUAGUACUAUGUAUUUUCUGAAAAUAGUUCGUUCUGUUCUGUUUUUUUUCCCACUAGACAUUGAUGCUAUUUGUGCUUCUUUAGCAAUGACACCAUAGUCAGUUUGCAUUUUCUGUCUUUUAGCUACACUAAGCCUUUGAUUUGUUUGUACCAUUAGGCUGUAGGGAAAUAUUACUAUAUGUAACAUGUAUUUUUUUUGUUCUUAUAAGAUAUUGUUUCUCAUUUCUGAAAUUUAUUUCUUGAUGCAGCUUCAUUCAGAUUUAUGUGAAUAUAAGCGUAAGAGGUCCAGUGGGAAUGAUACAAAAUAAUUUCAGACGUGAGUAUCCGGAUCGCAUUGCUACUGGUCUUCUCUUGUGACUGCGUGCAGCGGGCUUUUGACAAAGCCAAGUCAUGGCCUCAUGAGGAUGCU
rnacentral:lncRNA from 1 species